CAGCCGCUGGCGCUCCGGCCUUUAUUGCGCUACAGGGGCGCCGACAGCCGCUCCAGCUGCCGCGGGUUGGAGCCGCUCAGGAACCGCAGCUCCUCCUUGCCGUCCUCCGUGUGUGCUGCAAGACAGAAGUUACUUCAAUUCCAAAAUUCUAUAUGAUGGACUUACUAAAAUGUUCCUAGCUACACGAGCCCUGGCUACUCCAAGUCUACGUGCAGCAUCUGGCGUUUCCAGUGCUGGCAUUCAAACGUGUCGUUCUCACAACUGCAAUACCUGAAAAAGGACUUUUCUGUAUACUUUCAACUCUGAAGACUACCUGUUAAGAGAUGCUACACCCAGGGGAUUGGAGAAGCAGCAGCAGCAGGAGUUGACCUCCUAUAGCAAGAAGUUUAACAGUUCUUUUUAGGAACUGGAAGUUCUCAUUAGCUCAAAAAAAUCAUAAACCAAAGUGUCAUUAAGGGUUAUUAAAUACCUCUAGCUUGGGAAGUACGAGUCAUAAACUGGAGUCUGGCACAGUCAUCAAGAAAAGCAUUUUGUUACGUUCUUACUCUCUUUGGGUGAUGUCGGAACCACUGAUGAGAUACUAACCCUUAACAGUUGCACUGUGCUCACGCUCUCCGCUGAAGGAACAGUGCAAUGUUAGAUUUGUAGCUUUAUGCUUACUGGUGUGUAGCUUUAAUUGCUGAGAAUAACACGCCCCGCAGUACAGACUGAACUCACCCAGUCAUUCCUCAUCAUCUUCCUUAGGUUGUACACAAGCGUCAGCUCCUCUGGAGAAACCUGGGGAAGAUUGUCUGCAUUACUUUUUUUGCCAGCAGUUUCUAUCAGAGACUUAAAUUUCCCUCCUCUACUUUAAAUUAAACUGGAAGGAUCAUCUGCAUCAUUUAGAUGCAUUUUUUUCUUUGCUUCGACUUAGCACUGUAACAUCAGCCUUCGUAAUGUUACGUGGAGAAAUGCCCAGACCUUUCCUGCUCUAACAAAGACAGACGUGGCCUUUUUUCUUACUGAAAGAACUUUCUUCAGUAAAAACAGCCUAAAUACGUUAUGAAUUUUGCAGGUCUCUCCAAGCUAGCAAAACCAAACGUACGCCUUUCAGGGAUUACUGUAGAACUUAAAAAUGAACAAACACCCUCCCCUGCUCUGCCUUGCCGCAGGAAUGCAGAAACAUCAUCAGAAUAGUCACUUCUUACGGGGCUUUUGUCUUCCUUCUUUAACGUAGUCCUUCCCCAGAGAGCAUUGACGCCGUCCACUGCCACGAGAAGUCGGAACGAGCCAAGCUGACAUUGCUGCUUUAUCUCUUUCAGCACAACCCCCACAGCAUCACUGGCAUUUCUCACGCGAGCCAAACCCUUUAAGUAGGAAAAGGCACAUAACUUGGGUUGGUUUUCUUGUUGAUAUAUCAUGCUGGCAACUUUGGGCACUGUCUGCCCUUUCUAAGAGGGAAGGAACAGAUGACAGUCAAUUGUCCGUUCAUUCCUUUCAAAGGUGCAAUCUGGUCUAAGGUACUGAGCAUCAAAGUAGUAGGAACUUUCAAAUUCUAAUUUUUGCUUCGACCCAAGUUCUGGGUACAGUCCUUUACAGACCCAUCACAUCUUCCACAAUGGUUUUUGUAGCCACCUUGUUGAUAGGCAAAUGCCUUCCACUUCCUAGAACUGGUAUUAGUAAGAUGUUUAGAAGCAAUUUGUUCUUAAAACACAAUGAUGGGACCUUCUAAUAAAAGGUGAGACAAAGCCAGAAGCACUUGUUGUUCCUUACCUGCUCCACCACUUCACCCAAUGGUCUGCCCUCCUCUGUGCUUUCUCGUUUGCCCCACACAUAUUUUUUUUGCUCUACAGACCUCUUUUAGGAAGCGCUCAUUUGAGGUUUUGAAGUUCUUGAGCCAGAAAGAUGCUUGCAAAGGCUGAUCAAGCCGUUCUUUGUUAUAGGAAGACUGCAUAAGCUCCCUGCAGUUUUUCACC